GUUGCACUCAGUUAAUACAUAACAAACCACUGGCCUCUAAUUCCCCCACAUUCAUCCCCAUUAGCAAACAACACAAUGCAGGCAUAUGUAUCAUCAACCGAGCAAAAAGAUUCAAAUAUACUUCAAAAGUGAUUUGAUGCUCAUAAUUUCUCCAUCAAACCUAAUUUCAAAAGGAGACAACAACAAUUGAUAAGCUAAUUUAGCCAAUGAUUUGGCUCAAGAAUGUAGGAGAAACUGAAUUUGCUUUAGAUAUGCAAUCAUCAAACAUGACCAAAAAUUUCUAGUUCAUAGCAUGAGCAAUAGCAUGCAAUUAUCUAGAUUCUAGAGGUUCAUAGUUAAGACAAAGCUUAGCAUCGAACAAAGUAAGCUUCCAAAAAUUUAAGAACAAAAUCAAAAGAGUAGUUCAAAACCAAGUAAAUGACAAAGGCUGAUUAUAAAAUGUAUAAUCACUUAAUGGAAACUAAUUACUAUUUUACAACCUUACCACAACCAGAAACUAUUAACCAUAAUAUUAAACUGAUAUACAAGAAAUUAAAAAAAAAAAAACAACGCAUCAUAAACAAAUAAACAACAAAGAAAACCACACAGAAUUUUCACUAAUACAACAAAAGCUUCUCUUUGAUUUUCAUGGACUUCACCAGUUUUCACAUAUCUGCUUGCAGAGUGUUUGUGAAUUUGACAAAUAUAAACAAGAUAUCUACUCUCUCUGAAAUUACUGAAUUACUGGUUACUUUAACAAAACAAAAAAAUAUUGCACGGAAUAAUGUGCCAUCUUUGGCUGCAAAAGAAAAUAGAAAGAAGCUUCAUGAAUGCAAAAUUUGUCAUAGAAAAAUGGAAAUAUGAUUUAGUGAAAGAAGUAUAUGCUUUAAACUUUUUGAUGUUGGUCUUUGAAAAAUCAGGAUUUAUAAAUUACACCGCACUAAAUUUAUAUGAAAUCACCAUCAGAAAGCAAGGGAUAUUAAACCCAGAAAAACUUUCAUUAACUAAAACUACUGAAGAGUAAAAGAUUCAUAACCAUGAAAUCAGCAUUAAACUACUGAAGAAUAAAAAGCCACAAGCGCAAUUAUACAAUAAUUCCAAUGAAAUCAGCAACAAUGAAUAAAAUAAAAUAGCAAUUUCAACAGAAACUACUGAAGAGUAAAAGAUUCAUAACCAUGCAAAAAUCUUACAAUUUGAUAAAAGAGCGUCGAACAAACUUAAGAAUUGGCAGAUUAAUUUGGGUCAAAAUUAAAACUCACCCGAUAUUGGAUCCUACGUGAUGACCCGAAAAACGCUUCACUCUUUUUUCAAUGGAUUAAGCUAUCAGGAAUUUCCAAUUUUGUGAAUAUAUUGAAGAGAAAAAGAGAGUUUUGGUGUGCGGCGCAGAUAGGGUUGGGAGGAAAUGGGGAAGGGAAAUUAGACGCCGAGACGAGAAGAAACGAUGAGGACAGAAUCAUCAACGGAAGC
rnacentral:lncRNA from 1 species